ensembl:lncRNA
UUUGGAUAGACUCACUACUGAGUUAUGUCUUGUCUGAAGAAAACCUCCAGCAAAAUCAGAAAGCCCUACAGUAUCCUUUCCAACGUGGAUAAUCCUACAUACAUUUCGGAGUCAUUUCAUCUGAAAGGAAGGCUCAUCUUUUCAUAUUCAAAGACGGAGUACCCAAAAUGUCAUAUUUUGGACAUCAGAUCUAAAGAGCCAUUCAUUAUCCAGAAACCAGGAGGGCUGGGCAGAGACACAGCAAGAAGUGCUGAUGUGUUCCACUCUGUGAAGGGGACAAGCCAGAAAGACUGCAGUGUGUCUCAAGAAAAGCUGAAGAAUGUACUGUUCUUUAACAGCUGUUUUCAGGGUUAUAAGAAAAUGUCCCAAGCACUGCGUGCAGUUAUUCAGUGGACUGUGGAAACAUAGUCCAAAAUGGCUAAUCAUAAAACUGGAAGUUUGUCUUGUAGAAACUGGUGGCUCUCUAAUGAAUAAAAUAUAUUUUCACCUUUAAAAAUCAGAUUUUUUUAAAAAGUACAGCAGAUAAGUAAUGAGAAUUUGUAAGAGAGAACUAAUCUUCCUAAAAUAAUUCUGAGAAAUAAAUUGUAUUAAAGACUUUGAGCUAAUUUCUUGUUCUGUGCCUGUAAUCACAGGGAGAUUAUAAUAUUUCAUGUUUUACCCAACACUACUAUCAUUUGCUGAUUGUCUGGACAAGUAAAAAAAAAUGUCCUAACUUAGAGAAGUACUUAAGUACGGGCCUAACCUUCUUCUACUUAAUAUGAAACUAGAAAAUUCAGAUGUUUAAUCCAUCAAGCAUGCCAUCUAAUAAUUAGACUACAUGCCUCAGAAGCGUUGCUUUGUAUAUAAGUAUGUCUUUUAAAUAAGGAUGGCAGAAAUGUUUGGCAUUAAAAUCUUUAAAAAAUGCAGGCUUUCUAAA